rnacentral:rRNA from 1 species
AUGGACUGCUGCUCUCCUAGACGAGCUACGGCGGCCGCCCACAGGGUGUUUGACGAAAUUCCCAUCAAGGAUGGCAUCACUUGGGAGACCAUAGAGUCCAAUAGAGGUUUCCACAGUGAAGCAGUAAGGCUUUUGACCUGCAUGUGUCACGAAUCACAGGGACUCGCUGGUGGUCUGCUCGGCCAUGCCAUUGUCCAUGCGCUUCAAGAUAACAAGGACAGCAGGCUUCGCGACAACUCAUUCGUCUACGAUGUCCUCACCAAAUCUGAAAUUAUUUGGCUCCUAAAUUCUAAUCCAUGUGAGCAAGCCGCCCCUUCUUCUUCCCCCACCAAUGGCCGCUUCCAAAUCAGGUUGAAAGUCCAGCCGAGGAACGAAUGGAGUUACCAAGAAAUAGAGGAGGAAGUCCAUCACCUGAACAUGAUCAUUGCAAAGAUUAAUGACAAGAAUGGAGCUUAUAUCACUAUAUCAGCGAGCUCGUUGACAAGAGAAGGAAGGUUGAAGCUGAACUUAGAUCAAAUGAGCCUUUGA